UACGAAGGGUGCAAGCGUUGCUCGGAAUCAUUGGGCGUAAAGCGCACGUAGGCGGUUCGUUAUGUCGGAUGUGAAAGCCCUUGGCUUAACCGAGGAAGUGCAUCCGAAACUGGCGAGCUAGAGUACUAAAGAGGAUCGCGGAAUUCCCGGUGUAGAGGUGAAAUUCGUAGAUAUCGGGAGGAACACCGGUGGCGAAGGCGGCGAUCUGGGUAGAUACUGACGCUGAGGUGCGAAAGCGUGGGGAGCAAACAGG
rnacentral:rRNA from 1 species